rnacentral:misc_RNA from 1 species
GAUGAAGAACGCAGCGAAAUGCGAUAAGUAAUGUGAAUUGCAGAAUUCAGUGAAUCAUCGAAUCUUUGAACGCACAUUGCGCCCGCCAGUAUUCUGGCGGGCAUGCCUGUCUGAGCGUCAUUUCAACCCUCAUGCCCCUAGGGCGUGGUGUUGGGGAUCGGCCAAAGCCCGCGAGGGACGGCCGGCCCCUAAAUCUAGUGGCGGACCCGUCGUGGCCUCCUCUGCGAAGUAGUGAUAUUCCGCAUCGGAGAGCGAUGAGCCCCUGCCGUUAAACCCCCAACUUUCCAAGGUUGAACUCAGAUCAGGUAGGAAUACCCGCUGAACUUAAGCAUAUCAAUAAGCGGAGGA